UGGCCCUCCCUCAGAAAAAAAGGUUCGGCGUGCUCGCAGAACUCUGUUCGCGCUCUCCGCGAAGUCCCCAACCCCAACCAUGGCGAUCGGCGAAACUGCAAGGGCGAGCAGCGGUCACGGAAACCUGUCACCCUAUCCGAUGAAUCCCGGAGGGAUCAGGGGGAGCAGAGUGGUGCACAACAGUGGUAUUACCAAAUCACAAAUCUUUUGCUUACAUCAGCAAGUGGACACCUUGUGAGCAAAACUCAAGCUUAGGUCCAGAUUUCUUCAAUCAGUGGUGCUUCAAUUAUGCGUAGGGAAAUUCAAUAUUCUAUUAUUCAACAAAACAAAGUUUCAACUGUGGUAUUGCAGUUUCAACUUGUGAUUUUCUCCAUACUGUAUAUAGUUUUUUUUUGAGAAUCCAUACUGUAUAUAGUCAACUUGCGAGUAAGUGCUUCUUUUAUUUGAAUCCGGAUUGGUGUGCCACUCUGCAAAAUCUGCAAAUAGGUUAUUUUGUUUGACUGAUAUCAAAUUAUUCAUAUGUUUUCACCAAUUAUUCAUGCUUUAUUACCAGUAAUCACAA